AUGGAUCACGAAUUCCCAGAAGGGUUUAAACCCGUAAACAUCAAAUCGUAUGAUGGCACAACAGACCCCGCGGUGUGGAUCGAAGACUUUCUUCUCCACAUUCACAUGGCCCGCGGUGAUGACAUACAUGCCAUCAAGUAUCUUCCCCUUAAACUCAAAGGACUGGCCCGACACUGGCUGAAUAGCCUGCCGGCAAACUCCAUCGGCAGUUGGGAAAACCUGGAGGACGCGUUCCUCGACAACUUCCAAGGAACCUACGUGCGACCACCGGAUGCUGAUGACUUAAGUCACAUUACCCAACAGCCCGGAGAGUCAGCCAGGAAAUUCUGGACUCGGUUCCUAACUAAAAAGAACCAAAUUGUCGAUUGUCCGGAUGCCGAAGCCCUGGCGGCCUUUAAGCAUAAUAACUGUGGCGAGUGGCUCGCCCGACACCUCGGCCAAGAAAAACCGAAGUCCAUGGCGGCCCUCACGACACUCAUGACCAGCUUUUGCGCGGGCGAGGACAUCUAG
rnacentral:rRNA from 1 species